CCAAUGGGUGCCAGGCGAGGGCACGCAGACGCCCCGCCCCCUGGAGCUCCCCGCGGUCCCACAGCAUCCUCUGGCCGACGUCUUGAAGGCUCCGGCUUGGGCGGACGGAGCCUCGUGCGCAGGCGCGGAGUUAGACCUCGCCGUAGCCCCCAUCGCCUCGGGGAGUCUCAUCCACAGUGGGUCCGCUGGCCCAUAGGGGCGCUUUCCCUCCUCUACCCUCCCGAGUUCCCCGCGCGCCCUACGCGCCCCAAUGGCGGAGCUGCGGCCUAGCGUCGCCCCCGGUCCCACCGCGCCCCCGGCCUCUGGCCCUAGUGCCCCUCCGGCCUUUGCUUCACUCUUUCCCCCGGGACUGCACGCCAUCUACGGAGAGUGUCGCCGCCUCUACCCUGACCAGCCCAACCCGCUCCAGGUUACCGCUAUCGUCAAGUACUGGUUGGGUGGUCCAGACCCCUUGGAUUAUGUCAGCAUGUACAGGAAUAUGGGGAGUCCUUCUGCCAACAUCCCCGAGCACUGGCACUACGUCAGCUUUGGCCUGAGCGAUCUUUAUGGUGACAACAGAGUCCAUGAGUUUACAGGAACAGAUGGACCAAGUGGAUUUGGCUUUGAGUUGACAUUUCGUCUGAAGAGAGAAACCGGGGAGUCUGCCCCACCAACAUGGCCAGCAGAGCUGAUGCAGGGCCUAGCCAGAUAUGUCUUCCAGUCAGAGAACACCUUCUGUAGCGGGGACCAUGUGUCUUGGCACAGCCCUUUGGAUAACAGUGAGUCAAGAAUUCAGCACAUGCUGCUGACGGAGGACCCACAGAUGCAGCCUGUGCGGACACCCUUUGGGGUAGUUACUUUCCUCCAGAUUGUUGGUGUCUGCACUGAGGAGUUACACUCAGCCCAACAGUGGAACGGGCAGGGCAUCCUGGAACUGCUGCGCACAGUGCCCAUUGCUGGCGGUCCAUGGCUGAUAACUGACAUGCGGAGGGGAGAAACCAUAUUUGAGAUCGAUCCACACCUGCAACAGGAGAGAGUUGACAAAGGCAUCGAAACAGACGGUUCUAACCUGAGCGGUGUCAGUGCCAAGUGUGCCUGGGAUGACCUCAGCCGGCCUCCAGAUGAUGACGAGGAUAGCCGGAGCGUCUGCCUCGGCACACAGCCUCGGAGGCUGUCUGGCAAAGACACAGAGCAGAUCCGGGAGACCCUGAGGCGAGGACUGGAGAUUAACAGCAAACCUGUCCUUCCACCAAUCAAUUCUCAACGACAGAACGGCCUCACCCAUGACCGGGCUCCGAGCCGCAAGGACAGCUUGGGCAGUGACAGCUCCACGGCCGUUAUCCCCCACGAACUGAUCCGCACAAGGCAGCUCGAGAGUGUGCAUCUAAAAUUUAACCAAGAGUCUGGAGCUCUUAUCCCUCUCUGCCUAAGGGGCCGACUCCUGCAUGGCCGGCACUUCACCUACAAGAGUAUCUCAGGUGACAUGGCCAUCACGUUUGUGUCCACGGGAGUGGAAGGCGCCUUUGCCACUGAGGAGCAUCCCUAUGCAGCUCAUGGACCCUGGUUACAAAUUCUGUUGACAGAAGAGUUUGUAGAGAAAAUGUUGGAGGACUUAGAAGAUCUAACUUCUCCAGAGGAAUUUAAACUUCCCAAAGAGUACAGCUGGCCUGAGAAGAAGCUCAAAGUAUCCAUCCUCCCUGACGUGGUGUUCGAUAGUCCGCUGCACUAGCCUGGGCUAGGCCCUGCAGGGGCCGAGAGGAGCCCAGCUGCUCCUGGUGACUUCCAGUGUGACAGCUUAUAAAGGAGACACCCAUGAAUAAAAGGCCUGGCCCUCUUGUGGGUACCAUGCUCUCACCUCCAGGACUGCAGAUCUGCUUGCCUUCCAGGGACAUUUGAGAGCUGCGUAGGAGAGAUCUCCCACUUCUGACCUGGAACUGGCAAGCGCUUUUCCUGCAUUCUUGCCUGCCUCUAGGAUGGAUGGUCUUUGUUCAUUCUUUAAAUCCAGAUGUCUCCAAAGGAAAGAUAUGUUGUCUGUCAGGGACCUUGCAAGAGCUCCCCUGCUCUGUCUGCCCCCCCACUGCCUACAACGGCCUCAAGGGGCCUUUGGAGGAAUGGCUCCAUCUGGCCACAUGUGCAUAGCCUAGGUCUAAGCUCAACCAGCACUUAGAGGCAGACCCAUCAGGAGCAUCUGAGAGAGGCUGGCUGCAGACCCCAACCAGCACAAUAGAAAAGCCUGUCUGGAGCAGACACGACACUGCCCGGGACUUUUCCACAAGGGCAUUUCCAGCCAUACCUUUAAAGCUCUUGUCUUCUGAAAGUUUGUGGGCCAAGAGAUGCUAUCAGUGUUGCCUCUGUUCCUUGCCAUCACCAGUGUUGUAAUAGCUCCCCCUCCCUAAUUCUCUCCGGAGACCUGCCUCAGGGCCCCUCUGCAUUCUCCCCUAGCUCCUUUUGUCUGGCUCAGGGGUGAGAAUGCAUGCUAUGAGCAUCAGAUCACAUAGUUAGUGUUAGUGUGACCAAUGGGAGACUGGUGGUUGUGACCACCUGCUUGAGUGGCUCCAUUCUUAGGGAGCAGGGAAUGGCAGGUAAGCUCCAGAUGGUCACAGGCCCUGAGGUCUUUACUGCCUCCACCCUGUCAGGAACCUCAGGAAUGUCUAAACUCCUGCUGGGACCAGACCCCCAUCAUUCCUGUACAAUGGCUCUAGGAGAGUAGCUAAUCUCAGCCUGGUCUGACCAGGCCUCCUUUCCCUUGGGCUCUGGUUUCUUCCAGAGGAAUCUCAGGGAAAGAGGUUCACCAUUAAGCUACCGGCUGGGAAGAAGAGACCCUCACAUCGGAUUAAGCAAGACUGGCCUUACCGUGACACAGGAUGGGUGUUCAAGAGAGGGACCCUCCCUUCCCCUUCCUGCAGCGGCUCUUUGGGGCUAACACGUCAUAGGGAGGGGUUCAGGAGUCUCCUCCCUGACUCUACAGACUUCCUCAGCCUUUCCCCAUCCUUCAACCUUCCAAAUCCACGGGACCAGAGAUUCUGAAAGGAAGGGACUCCAACGUCCUGUAACUAAAAACUCCUGGGCCUGUGUAGGCUGCAGAGGUGGCCUUGUGGCUGCCAUGCAGGGGAGCAUGCUCCUCUUCUAAGGGUGACACUCCAGCAGGGCCUGUAAAUGCUCUGGGGAGUCUAAAGGUCUAGGACACAUAACCAGACCCUGGGGCUGGGGGCUGGACUUUGAGAGCGAGAGCAGGGAGAGAACCUGAAGAUUGGUGCCCCUAUGGGGCAGAUCAGAAAACUCCCUCAGCGGUAUUUUUUUAACCUGGUCUUCCCUCUCUGGCCUCCAUGAUCUUGGUGCCAGGUGAGGUGUCUGGGUCCCUGUUACAAGUCAGGAGCCCUGGUGGGAGACCCACUUCUUUUGUACAAAGAUCUGAAUGCUGCAAUGAACAGACUUUUGUACAUUUUUAUAUCAGUUUUUAAUGUCAGUGGCGACUCAGUUCCUGGGGCUACAGCUGGCUCAGGAUUUUUGUAAGAAAUUUUGAGUGACUCACUUAGAUUUUGUUCCUACUUGUCCCUCCUCCUCUGUGUAAUCUAAGUGCAUUAAACAUAUCUGCAGACUGUC